CCCAUUUAGAUUCCCAGUGAUUUGUAGGAGAACUUCUGGAUUUUCUGAGGUCCAUGCAGAAAAUGCCAGGUGUGGCCGUGUGAGCUCUGAAGCAGCACUGCGGCCAGCAGCACAUCGUCGGCUCAGGUUUCUCUGCACUGAGCUGCUCUAGUUAAACCAGCCACACUUAAUCAUUUGUGGAUAGAUGUGGAAAGGUUUUAAUUCAAUUUAAAUGUGCAGUUAUUAUAAGCUGUUAUUGAAGCUGAUUUUUCCCUCACUCUUUCUUUGUUUUUUCUUUUCCUUUAUGUAUCAAUGACCUCUGCAUAUGUUCUCCCCUCAAUGUUUGUUGUGCAGCAGCCACCAUCUAUUAGCCUAGUUUCUGAAAUCAUCUCCUUUAAGUUUUAUCAGCAGUCAGAGUUCAGCAGUGGAUGUCAGUGUUGCUGCUACUGCCUGGAGGAUGUGGUGUGGGAAAAGGUGCAAUGCACUUCGAACCAGGUGUUACUCUGCUCAUUAGAAGAUACCUGCACUUCAAGGUUUGAUUUAUUUGAAGAGCUGAAUCUGAUAAUAAACUGAAGUCAGGACCAUGAUGUAGACCCAGAUUUCUUUUCACAUGACAGAAUCCUGUAUCUGGGGAGGAUGGAAAGCUGUUGAGGUUUAAAGACUGUCUUGGGUUGCAAUGCAAGAUGUAACCAAAAGUUUGUAUUUUAUUACCAUCUAGUCGGGAAUUCAAGAGCCAUUUGUUUAUUUGCUUGGCAUUUUCUGUCUGAUUUGUGUGACUUUAUCUUAGUUCCAUGUCUAAUCAGUUGUGGUCUCACUGUUGUAUCAUGGAUUGAUCGGUAUUAGUCUGUCUUUACAAACUGCCUUGCUGCAGGGUGAUGCUAAACUGGUAUAUCUCUACAUUAUCUACCCGGAAGCUGGCUCAGUUAAAUACAACUUUUUUGACUUGUUGGUUUCUUGGUUGUUUUUUUGGGGUUUUUUUAAGCACUCAGUCAUGUAUAGUUUAAUCCUAAUUAAUCUGUGGAGUGAGCUCUACCAGAGAGAAAAUUCACUUGUAAGCAUCUGUGGCUGCUGGCCCAGGUGAAUUGUCCUUUCUGGCCCUGUCUAGUCUAGGUUAUUGGGCCAGGCUGUGGUCCUGCCUGGCAGCAGAGGAACUUAUUCCCCAGCCUGUCCUAACAGCAAACAUUCAGGAAGGGAACAUGGAUUAACACCUAGGGCAGUUUUAGUUAGCAAUCAGUAAUGGUAUUACUGGAUAUCAGAUGGUAUCUGCUUAUCAUAGAAUCAUAGAAAAGACCUAGUCUGUAAAAGACCUUCAGAACUAUCAAGUCCAGCCUUUAAGCUAAUCCCCCAAGCCCACAAAACCAUAUCCCCAAGUGCCAUGUCAACUCAUUUUUUGACCACUUCCAGGGUUGGUGUCUCCACCACUGCCCUGGACAGCCUGUUCUAACCCUUCACCACUCUUCCAGGGAAGAAAUUCUUCCUGAUGUCCAACCUAAACCUUUCUUGGCACAGCUUGGGGCUGUUUCUUCUUGUCCUGUCCCUUAUUCCUGGGAGCAGAGCCCAAACCCCCUGGCUGCACCUUCCUGUCAGGGAGUUGUGCAGAGCCAGAAGGGCCCCCCAAGCCUCCUUUUCUCCAGGCUGAGUCCCUUUCCUAGCUCCCUCAGCUGCUCCUGGGGCUCCAGACCCUGCUCCAGCUCCAUUCUCCUGUCUGGACACACUCCAUCCCCUCAGUGUUUCUUGUAUGACAAUUACACAGUCAAGACAGUAAAGAUAGAGAUUCUCUAUGAUUUGUGUGGCUUUCAAAUCACACAAAUCUCUAUGAUUUGUGUGAUUUGAAAAGACUGUUAGUUGUCUUUAACUUCAGUGCUCUCCAUGCCUUCACAGUUCAUCCUGGCCUUCCAAUGUAGAUUUUGGAUGAUGGGAUAAUGAAAAGAAAACCCCAUUUUGUAACUUCCUUUGCUACACCAUAGUUUAAUGCAGUUUGAAUUUUACUGCUGCAUAUUUCUCCUCGUUUAACUCUGGAAGUAAUAGUGCAUCAGCAUUAAUAAAUCUCAGCUUCUGAUCUAGGUUAUUCCA
ensembl:lncRNA